rnacentral:lncRNA from 1 species
UGUGUGCCUCCCUGAACUGUGAAUACUCCUGUUUAACAUUGCUGACGAAUCUGACGAGUAAAUCCCACCGCACUGCUCGCUUCAGUUUCCCCAAACAGAACUUUGAUCCUGAAUCGUAGCUAAAAAACAACGUUAAACCCGUUUUCUGCCCCGGGUGCUUCCCAUUUACGCUGUCCUCCGGGUGUCUGACCUCUCUAUCAACGAUACACUAAUAGAAGUCUUUAGAGAGAACAAUAGCGGGAUGCCGCCCUGCACCUCACUGCUUCAGUAUUCACUUUUUCCAGACCUGUAAAUCGUAGGGUCAGCAGCAUGGAGACAUUAAUGAACAAAACAAAGUAAAUUAGGUUGCAGAAGCUGUGGGUCCUCUCCUCCAACCUGUCCACAAGAGUUCAGUAAUGUGAAUAGAUCUUAUGCAGCUGUAAUGUGAGAUGAUGCUUGUAUAUGGUGUUAAACCACAUCCAUAAAAUCUCCAUUGAUAAUAGUAAGUAACUUGAUCCUACAAAAAUUUGAC